rnacentral:tRNA from 1 species
AGCCUUGAGGUGUUUAACAUGUCAGAUUGCAAAUCUAAAGUAGUGGACUAACGUCUACCGGGGCUU